rnacentral:tRNA from 1 species
GCAUUGAUAGCUUAAGAUAGAGCAUAGCACUGAAGAUGCUAAGGUGACAAUAAUGUCUCAAAGCA